UGAUGAUCAACAGGGUCAAAAGCAGCGGAAAAGUCAAGGAGAACUAGGAUAGAAUAGUGACCAUGAGAUAGUUGUCCAUCAGACACUCUUGUAUUGUUUUGGCUGUGUCCUUAGGGUCAUUGUCCUAUUGGAAUGUUAGACUUCAGCCCAGUCUGAGAUCCUGAGUGAUAUAGAUUACCAAAAAGAUGACCUAUACUUCUGUAUUCACUGUUGGUAGCCAGCUUCCACAGUGCAAUGGCAACUCUUUUCCCCACAGGCAAACAGGCUCUGAAGUUGGUGGUUUGCUUCUCCAUCGCUGGACGUCACUUUGCACAAAGGUAUAAAAAUGUUUCCUCCGAUAUUCUGAAUUUGUGCACCCACUGUGUGUGUGUGAAUCCAGGGACGGUCACAUCCCACCACUCAUUGGCGCGGCAGAGAGCCCAAAUGACUGGUCGGCGGCGC